UACAGGGGGGGGCAAGCGUUGUUCGGAAUUACUGGGCGUAAAGGGUUUGUAGGGGGCUUGCUUAGUCAGACGUGAAAUCCCUCAGCUUAACUGGGGAACUGCGUCUGAUACUGGCGAGCUUGAGUGCAGGAGAGGAACGCGGAAUUCCAGGUGUAGCGGUGAAAUGCGUAGAUAUCUGGAGGAACACCGGUGGCGAAGGCGGCGUUCUGGACUGCAACUGACACUGAAAAACGAAAGCCAGGGGAGCAAACGGG
rnacentral:rRNA from 1 species